UGCUGUGGACAUCUCUGCUCUACACAUUCUUCAUUCUCACACUCUGAUACAGGUUCAACCUUCUAAUCCUUACAGGAUUUUGUUCCAAUUUCGUUCUCACAGAUGAUGCUAUCCUGAGCUGAAUGUAAAACAAGCGGGACAUGAUGCUAUUAUGAUGAUGGAUUUGCCUUGGGUAACCUUGUCUACUUUCACUCAAGAAUUGGAUUCAAAUAAGAAGAAAACUUCAUCCAAUAGCCUCUGGCUUUCAGAGUGUCAGGAACCUGCAAUUGCUGGAGUUUUACUGCAUUCAGGAGGCUAAAAUUCACACGCAUCAGCUUCAAAUCCUCACUGGAGUAGCAAUGGGAGGAAGGGUCAUUGCUUGGAGCAGAGCGAAAACUGAAGCCCAUAAAGCAUCGCUGGAUCCCAUUAUCCCACAAUUACAUACAGUUAGCCUUCCACUGCAGGCAACAUGGACAGUUUGAGUCUCAGACCUCAUCCGUUACAGCAAAACGGAGCAGAUUUUACAAAGAAUAAAUCCUGCUUCUCUCUGUGUCUAAAAGCCUAUGCAUUUCCUGCCUUGUGCUUGGAUCCUGAAAAAUGAUCGAGAUAUCAAAAAUAGCUUCAGUUCUGUUAACAGAGAUAUCCCAUGUCAUUUAGGGCACUGUGUUUUCUCCCUAUGGUCUUUGAAAGGAAGUGUGGGAGUCAUGUGUAGCUGCAGAAAAGCUAAUCAAUACCCUAUGUGUUGUGAAGCCGGCUUUUGAUUUAGCAACAUGUGAUAUUGAGGCAAGCUCAUUUUCACAGCAUUCAACCAGUUUUAAAGAGGUUUUAUCCGCCUUGAUUAACUGACAUUGAGUCAAUGAUAUAAAGAAAAUUACUUCUAUAUAAAAAUCUC